UACGGAGGGGGCUAGCGUUGUCCGAAGUUACUGGGCGUAAAGCGCGCGUAGGCGGGUUGGUAAGUCCGCUGUGAAAGCCCGGAGCUUAACUCCGGAGGGUCGGUGGAUACUGCCAGUCUUGAAGGUGCUAGGGGGAGAUGGAAUUACCGGUGUAGCGGUGAAAUGCGUAGAUAUCGGUAGGAACACCAGUGGCGAAGGCGGUCUCCUGGGACAUUCUUGACGCUGAGGCGCGAAAGCUGGGGGAGCAAACGGG
rnacentral:rRNA from 1 species